rnacentral:lncRNA from 1 species
UACAGGGUCUCCUUAAAUUUCCCAGACUGGCCUUGAACUUAGGAUCCUCUUGCCUCAGUUGGGAUUAUAGUAAGUAGUACCACCAUGUCUAGCUUCAAAGAAGAAAUUUCUGCUUUGGUAAAAAUGGCCAUUUGGCCCAAAGAAUUAUUAGAAAACUUUUAAAUGUCAAAAACCAUUCAAUCCCCAUAAUAGAGAAAUCAAUUUUUUUCUAGUGUUGGAGAUUGAACCCAGGACCUCAUGCAUGUUCUACCACUGAGUUUCAUCCACAGCCCCAUAAACUGUUUUUUUUUUUUUAAAGAAAAAUGGAGAUUUUUUUUUUUUUACAAUGUUACUUAUUUUAUGAGGCUAAUAUGACUCUGACUCUAAAAACUUGACAGGAAUCAUGCCCAGAAAGAAAAAUAUACUGGUUAAUCUUGUUUUUGAAUGUAAGUAUUAUCCAACUUGGCCACACAGAAGUCAAGUUCUCCCCACCCUGAGUAAGCAGACUUGUCCCAGGGAGGAGGUAUUACAGGUACCAUCUCCAAAGGCCUAAGGCCACUUCACUCAAUGAGAAAAAAAAUUCUUAUCUUUAUCUCAAUAGACCCCAGGAAGGCAGGUAAUAAUCUUCCCCUUUUGAAAACUUAAGUAUGAUAGGCUUUUAAAAAAAACAUUAUAUAUAAAAUAUUAAAUAUGACAAAGAUACCCAGAUGCACUGAUAUUCACUACAUCAUUCUCUAUGCUUCUCAGUGUUUGAAAGAUGUCAUAAUUACAGAUGUUUAAAUUAUUAACUAUAUAUAUAUAUAUAUAUUUUUUUUUUAAUUAUGUUUUCAAACUCUCCCUCUCAUCAAGCAACCCUUUAUUGAACUCUCUUCUGGCUAUGUUCCUUGCUCAUUUCUGCUCUUCAAAGCUACCACCUCAAAAUUUUAAAAAUUGUUGUCUUCCCUUUCUUCCUUUCUGAUCCCUUGUUCAACCUAGCAACCUUCAACUCUUAGAUCCCCACACGGCUGACACUUAGCUGGCAAACAUCACCAAUGAGAGGCUGCUAAAUAGCCCAGCUGCUGUUUUGUUCCUUACUCCAUGGUACUUUAUGUGCCUUUCUUCCUUCUGCUUGGGUUUUAAGGGAACAGGCUGUCCUGGUCCUCCUCCCACUUCUCUGGGCUUUCUCGGUGGCCCUGGCAGUUUCUCUUGUAGAGAGCAGACUGUGCCCUGCACUGAGUUACUCAUUUCCUAUAGAGAUCUAGCUUGCCCUGAGCUGCUCCAUUUUGAAUACAAGUGCUUUGUCUGUGCGAGUAGAUAACCAACAGAUGUUGGACACACAACUGAUGGAGAGCAACCACCAGCUGCUCAGCACAAACACAAGGCACACAAUGAUGGAUAACUUACUCGAGCUAAUAAAAAAUUACCACCUGUGAACUUAAUAAAUUGUCAAUGGCACAUAGUCACCUGGACUUAUCAGUGCCAUACCAAAGAAAGUAGGCAUGAGAUUUUAUCAGAAAUACCAGACCAAUGAAUGAUGCAACCUCCUUACUUGAAAUAUAAAAGGAGGAGCACCUAUGUUGCUGUGACAUAGCAACACUGAUUGACCUUAUCAUGGACUGCCUGGUGAACACUUCACCACAAUGCCAGGCAACNAUAUAUAUAUAUAUAUUUUUUUUUUUAAUUAUGUUUUCAAACUCUCCCUCUCAUCAAGCAACCCUUUAUUGAACUCUCUUCUGGCUAUGUUCCUUGCUCAUUUCUGCUCUUCAAAGCUACCACCUCAAAAUUUUAAAAAUUGUUGUCUUCCCUUUCUUCCUUUCUGAUCCCUUGUUCAACCUAGCAACCUUCAACUCUUAGAUCCCCACACGGCUGACACUUAGCUGGCAAACAUCACCAAUGAGAGGCUGCUAAAUAGCCCAGCUGCUGUUUUGUUCCUUACUCCAUGGUACUUUAUGUGCCUUUCUUCCUUCUGCUUGGGUUUUAAGGGAACAGGCUGUCCUGGUCCUCCUCCCACUUCUCUGGGCUUUCUCGGUGGCCCUGGCAGUUUCUCUUGUAGAGAGCAGACUGUGCCCUGCACUGAGUUACUCAUUUCCUAUAGAGAUCUAGCUUGCCCUGAGCUGCUCCAUUUUGAAUACAAGUGCUUUGUCUGUGCGAGUAGAUAACCAACAGAUGUUGGACACACAACUGAUGGAGAGCAACCACCAGCUGCUCAGCACAAACACAAGGCACACAAUGAUGGAUAACUUACUCGAGCUAAUAAAAAAUUACCACCUGUGAACUUAAUAAAUUGUCAAUGGCACAUAGUCACCUGGACUUAUCAGUGCCAUACCAAAGAAAGUAGGCAUGAGAUUUUAUCAGAAAUACCAGACCAAUGAAUGAUGCAACCUCCUUACUUGAAAUAUAAAAGGAGGAGCACCUAUGUUGCUGUGACAUAGCAACACUGAUUGACCUUAUCACGGACUGCCUGGUGAACACUUCACCACAAUGCCAGGCAACCAACUUCUGACUCUGUCCCUGGACAUGCAGCUCAGCAUGAUCCCCUUGCUAUGGCUCUGCCCACUUGGAACUCUGCUAUUAGCACCCUUUUGCCUUAACAACUGAGAGGUUGGGUUGUUGGUUGGUUGUUUGGUACUGAGGAUUGAAUUCUAAGAUUUUUUUUUUUUUUUUUUGGUGGUACUGGGCAUUGAACCCGGGGAAUCUACACCCACUGAGCUAUAUCCUCAGCCCUUUUUAUUUCUUAUUUUGAGACAGGGUCUUGCUAAAUUGUCCAGGCAGGCUUUGAAUCUGCAGUCUUCCAAAUCCCCAGGAUUACAGCCUGCACAAGGCAGGAGUUGGGUUGUUACCCUUUAUCUGACCACCUGCAGUGACUCUUGGCAUUUGUAUUAACUCUCUGCUUCCACGCUCUUCAUUCUGUAGAGCUCUUUAAAUCCUGUGACCUCCUUAACACUUUCUCAGCCUUUGUCUAACCUAUGUAUCACUGUGUGAAGUGGAUUUAAGUGUUAUAGACAUUAAUAAUUAAGAUCCAAAUGGAAAAAAGAAUUUGCGACUGCCAUGGUCACAAUUACCAAGUGAGACCAGGAGUAUUCAGCAAAGGAAAGCAGAUGAAACUGAUGGAGCUUAGUAAGUUUACUGAUAUUCAAAACUUUCUGACAUUGUGGGAAGAUACCAGCAUGUCAGUCUACGUAAAUGGCAUAGCUUGCUCAUGCGCAGGAUAUACCUCCCCAAUUGCCAUCUCACUCUGCCUUCUCUCAUCUUGUCUCCAACUACACUUCAUUCGUGUAUGACUUUCAACAUUUCUGCUUCUCAGUGCUAAUAUCCUCUGGUUCGGAGGUUAGGCAUGAAUCCUGAUUCUACCACCUACUAGAUAGGUCACCUUAAGCAAUUUUGAUUCUUCGUCUCAUGUGAAAAUACGAGUCCCUUCCCUCAAAAAAUUGAGAAAUAAGUUUUCUAAAACCUUUAACAUGAUGGGCAUGGUGGCCUGUAAUCCCAGUGACUCCAGAGGCUGAGACAGGAGGAUUGCAAAUUUGAGGCCAGCCUCAACAAUGUAGUGAGGCCGUAAGUCACUUACCAAGAUCCUGUGUCAAAAUAAAACAAUUUUAAAAAAGAAGGAAGAAAGGAAAAAAAAAAGAUAAAACCUUUAUCACAACACCUAUCAUAUUUGGUUAAUAAGAGUUAAGUUUUCAAUGCCUCUACAAAUAGAAGAAAAAGAAUCCAUGUGUCUCAAACUAAACUCAUUCUAUUCUUUGCCUGUAAAACCACUCAUCUUUCUUGGCUCUCAACAUUUCUAAAUUCCCUUCUGAGCCACAGUAAGUAUAAUUCUGCAUCAUGCUCAACCUUCUUCUUGCUUAUCUCCCCUUGCAGAUAUUUUUGUUCCUUAAAAUCUCACACCAGCAACCCCUCUGUAUCUUUACUUUCUCUUGCUUGGUGCAGGCUCUUCCCAUUGCUUUACUCAACUCCUCCAAAGGCCUCUACACUGGCCUCCCAGACCCCAGAGACCCCAGGGUUGCCAUCUUAAAUCCAUUUUGUAUCCUCCUCCAGUAAGCUACUAAGACACUGCUCUGACAGGGUCAACCACAUCUCUGAACCCUAAACUGCCUGUGAGAUAACAAGGAAACUGAGCAAGGAAUGAUCGUGUCUGGGGUACAGUGUGGUGACUUCUUGCUGAGCCCUCUUUCUCUACUCUUCUGAUAUUAUGAAAUAUACAUUUGCUUUUCAUCCCAAUUUCCAGGAGAGAGGGGAAAAAAAAAAAAAAGAGCUCCUAAAAUCUUUGGAAUCUCCAAAGUAAUAAAUGUCUUUUUGUAUGUUAAUGGAUUGACUGCUGGGUGGCAGUCUCUAGGUAGCUUCAGGAUGGGGGCUGGUUUCCGGAAGACCAAGGCAGCAUUAGCCGGCUGGGAGUUUAAGCCUCUUCCCCCAGUGUCUGGGAAGGGAGAGAGUUUGAAGAUUGAGCCGACUAAUGACCAAUGGUCAAUUAUGCCUAUGUAAUGAGGCUUCCCUAAAACCCCAAAAGGACAGGGUUCAGAGAGUGUCUAGAUAAAUGAACACAUAUCUGGAGGUUCCAGGAGAGUGACCACCCAGGGAGGGCAGAGAAGCUCUACGCUCCUGAUAAAAAUGCCUUGCCUUAUAUGCCUGUUCACCUGUAUCCUUUACAACAAACCUGUAAAAGAAAAUAAGUUAUUUCCCACCGGGCAGGCUGGCUUAUGCCUGAGUAUAAUACCAGCUACCCAGGAAACUAAGGCAGGAGGAUCACAAGUUCAAGGAGAACCAGAGCAAAUUAAUGAGACUAUCACAAAAUAAAAUUUUUUUAAAAGGCUGGGAAUAUAGCUCAGCGGUAGAGCACUGUUGAGUUCAAUUCUUAGUAGUGAGGAGGAAAAAAGUGUUUUUCUGAUGUCUGUAAAUAGCUCUAGCAAAUUAGUCCGACUGGAGGAGGGAGUGGGUCAAGAGCUCAGGUAAAACAACCUGAAACUUGUGGUUACUAUCAAAAGUGGGGGCAGUCCUGUGGGACUGCUCCUAACCUCUGGUACCUGAAGUCAUCUCCAGGUAGGUAAGAGUUGGAACUGAAGUCAGUUAGAGGACUUCUAGCUGGCAUCCUGAGCAGAACCUAUUUAUCUAUCUAUUUAUUUAUUCUUUCUAGAUAUACACAACAGUAGAGUAUAUUUUGACAUAUUAUACAUGCAUAGAAUAAGUAUAACUUGUUCCAAUUAGGAUCCCAUUAUUGUGGCUGUAUAUGAUCUGGAGUUCCUUGGUAGUGUAUUCAUAUGUAAAGAUAGGAAAGGUAUGUCUUAUUCAUUCUACUGUCUUUUCUAGUCUCAUCCUCCCUUUCUUCCCUUCAUUCUCCUUUGUCCAGUGAACUUCUAAUCUUCCCCUCCCUUGUUAUGAGUUAGCAUCCACGUUUCAGGGAGAACAUUCUGCCUUUGGUUUUUUGGAAUAGGCUUACUUCACUUAGCAUAAUAUUCUCCAGUUCCAUCCAUUUACUGGCAAAUGCCAUAAUUUCCAUCUUUUAAGGUCUUCUUCAAUUUCUUUCUUUAGUGUUCUGCAGUUUUCAUUGUAGAGGUCUUUUACUUCUUUUGUUAGAUUGGUUCCCAAAUAUUUUGGUAUGUGUUUGUUUGUUUGUUUUUUGAGACUAUUGUGAAUGGGAUAGUUUUCCUGAUUUCUCUUUCAGCUGGUUUAUCAUUGGUAUAUAGGAGUACAAUUGAUUUAUGGGUGUUAAUUUUAUAUCCUGCUAUUUUGCUGAAUUCAUUUAUGAGUUCUAGGAGAUUUCUGGUGGAGUUUUUUGGGUCUUCUAUAUAUACAGAAUCAUGUUGUAGCAAAUAGGGAUAGUUUGAACUCUUCUUUUCCUAUUCAUAUUCUUUUAAUUUCUUUCUUUUGUCUAAUUGCUCUGGUUAGGGUUUCAAGGACUAUGUUAAAUAGGAAUGGUCAAAGAGGGCAUACUUGUCUUUUUCUGGUUUUUAAAGGAAAUGCUUUCAAUUUUACUCCACUUACAAUGAUGUUGACCUUGGGUUUAGUAUAUAUAGCUUUUACAAUGUUGAAAUAUGUUCCUACUAUCUCUAGAUUUUUUAGUGUUUUGAGCAUGAAUGGAAGCUGAAUUUUGUCAGAUUUUUUUUUUUGUGUGUGUGUGUGUGUACAGAACGUAUUGAUUGGUUGUUGUUGAGGAGAAAUCCUCACAUGCUUCUUAGUGACCAGAAGUCACAGAAGUUUCCUGUCUUGAUUGUUGAGUGACAGAACAGAAAGAACACUUUGGUUCUUUUAUAUCCUCAGAAUUUUAAUUUUAAUUCUAGAUAGUACACCUGAGAGCAGUUCAAGUCUUAGUGAUUAUUACUUUUCCACAUUCCUCUGUGUGAGAGUAUGUAAGUGUAUGUGUGUGUGUGUGUGUGUGUGUGUGUUUGAGAGAGAGAUAGAUGCUGGACACUGAUUGAACUCAGAGGCAUUAUACCACUGAACUAUCCCCAGUCCUUUUUAUUUUAUGUUGAGCUGGCAUCUGUCUAAAUUGCUGAAACUGGCCUUGAACUUGGAAUCCUCCUGCCUUGCCUCUGAGUUGCUGGGAUUACAGGUGUAAACCACCACACCAGGCCCACAAUCCUUAUUAAUAUCUUUUAGAUUGCAAAUGUGAUUUUACCUGUAUAUCAGCAGAGGGACUGGUUUUGGGAGACCCCCACACUAAAAUCCUAUGAGUGUUCAAGUUCCUUCUUUUAUUUAUUUAUUUUGGUACCAAGGAUUGAACCCAGGGGUGCUUAACCAUUGACCCAUAUCUCAAGCCCUUUUUAUUUUCUUGCAAAAUUGCUUAGGACCUCACUAAAUUGCUGAGGCUGGGUUUUGUGAUCCUCCUGCUUCAACCUCCCUCAUUGCUGGGAUUACAGGCAUGGCUUAGUCCCCUAUUUUAUUUUUAUUAUUAUUUUUAAGUUUUUUUUAGAUGUUAUGAACCUUUAUUUUAUUCAUUUAUUUAUAUGCAGUGCUGAUAAUCAAACCCAGUGCCUCACACAUGCUAGGCAAGUGCUCUACCACUGAGCCAAAACUCCAGCCCAUAGUCCUUUGUUUUAUUGUAUUUAUUUAUUUAUUUUAAGUAUUUUUUUUUUAGUUGUUGGUGGACCUUUAUUUUACUUAUUUAUAUGUGGUACUGAGAUUUGAACUCAGUGCCUCACUCAUGCUAGGCAAGGGCUUUACCACUGAGCUACAACCCCAGCCCUAGUCCCUUAUUUUAAAUGAGAUAAUAUUUGCAUAUAUCCUAUGCACUUCCCAUAUAUUUUAUUUAUUUAUUUAUUUAUUUAUUUAGGGUACUGGGGGUUGAACUCAGGAGUACUUGACCACUAAGGCACAUCUCCAGCUCUAUUUUGUAUUUUUAGUGACAGAGUCUCACUGAGUUGCUUGGCAUCUUGCUUUUGCUGAGGCUGGCUUUGAAUUCGCAAUCCUCCUGCCUCAACCUCCUGAACCCCUGGGAUUAUAGGCAUGCAUCACCACAGCCAGCCCAUAUACUUUAUUUUUUUUUUUAUUUUUUAUUUUUUUUUUAAUGUUUUAUUUUUUAGUUCUCGGCUGACACAACAUCUUUGUAUGUGGUGCUGAGGAUCGAACCCGGGCCGCACGCAUGCCAGGCGAGCGCGCUACCGCUUGAGCCACAUCCCCAGCCCCAGCCCAUAUACUUUAAAUCACCUCUAUUCCGCUUAUAAUACCUAAUAAAAUGCAAAUUCUGGGCUGGGGUUGUAGCUCAGAGGUAGAGCGCUUGCCUAGCAUGUGUGAGGCCCUGGGUUCGAUCCUUAGCAUGACAUAAAAAUAAAUAAAUAAAAUAAAGAUAUUGUAUUGUGUCCAACAACAACUAAAAAAAUAUUUUUAAAAAUGCAAAUUCUGUGUAAAUAGUCAUUAUUCUGUAUGUUUGGGGAAUAUACAGAAAAAGGUUUUACACACUGAGCACAGAUGCAACCAAAUAGGUCUAUUUACAUGGUGUACAAAGGAGGCAAACAAUGCUCAAAAACUGCUGGAGAGAGACUAAGAUCUGUGAAAUGAUGGAGGCUUCAGCAGAUGUGCCUGCACUUCUCUCUUUAUUUUUAUUUUUUUAAAUAAGUUCUUGCUAUGUUGCCCAGGCUAAUUUUGAAUCUAUGAGCUCAAGUGAUACUCCUACCUCAGUCCCCUGAGUCAUAGGAAUUACAGGUGUGAGCCACUGUGCCUAGCUUUUACGUGUCUCUUAAUUCACAUGGAUUCAGCAUAGUGCUCAGAAUGUAGCACAUUCAAGUUUUGAAACUUUCUGGAAUUUUUUUCUGAAUAUUUUCUUUUUUUUUUUUUUUUUUUAAAGAGUGAGUUCUUUGAGAGAGAGAGAUAGAAUUUUUUUUUAAUAUAUAUAUAUAUUUUUAUUUUUUAGCGGACUUAACAUCUUUGUUUGUAUGUGGUGCUGAGGAUCGAACCUGGGCCGUACACAUGCCAGACGAGUGUGCUACCGCUUGAGCCACAUCCCCAGCCCUUUUCUGAAUAUUUUUAAUCCAUUGCUGGUUGAAUCCACAGAUGUGGAAUUCAAGGAUACGUGGGUCCAACUUAUUCCAGAGAGGGAUAAUAGAAUAAACCCUGGCACUUUAUUAUACAGAAUAUAGACAGACGCUCUACAGAGUAUAUAACUGGAGUAAGAUAGGUAGGCAUUGGGUGGGACUCCCUGAAUGGGAACUCUCCCUACAGUGAGAUUUUUUUGCCUAGCAAUGUGUAAAGAAUCUGGAAGAGGUGGACAUGGUGGCAUAUGGCUUGGGAGGCUGAGGCAGAAGGAUAGCCAGUUUGAGGCCAGCCUCAGCAAUUUAGUGAGAUCUUGUCUCAAAAUAAAAAGUAGAAAGAACUGGGGAUGUGGCUCAGUGGUUAAGUGCCCCUGGGUUCAAUCCCUAGUACCAAAAAAAGAAUUUGGAAGAGCCAGAUGCAGUGGUGUACACCUGUGAUCCUAGUGACUCCAGAGGCUGAGGCAGGAGGAUAACAAGUUUGAGGCCAGCCUCAGCAACUUAGCAAGACCCUAGCUCAAAAUAAAAAUUAAAGAGGGGCCAGGUAUGGUGGCGUAUGCCCGCCAUCCCAGUGGCUUGGGAGGCUGAGGCGGGAGGAUCCUGAGUUUAAAGCCAGCCUCAGCAAAAGCGAAGUGCUAAGCAACACAGUAAGACUCUGUCUCUAAAUCAAAUACAAAAUAGGUCUGGGGAUGUGGCUCAGUGGCUGAGUGCCUCUGAGUUUAAUGCCUGGUACCCUCCAAAAAAACACAUUAAAGAAUGAGGAGACUGGGGUUGUGGCUCAGCAGUAGAGUAACCGCCUACCGCGUGUGAGACAAUGGUUUGAUCCUCAGCACCUCAUAUAAAUAAAUGAACAAAAUAAAGAUCCAUCAACAUCUAAAAUUAAAAAUUAAAAAAAAAAUUAAAACAAAAUGGGCUGGGGAUGUAACUCAAUGGUAAAGCAGCCCUAGGUUUAAUCCCUGGUACCAAUAACAACAACUAGAAUUGUUGUGAGUACUAAAUGUGAUAUACCAUUUGUAAAGCUGUCAGUGUAACACCCAGUACAUAAAAAGCAUUUGAUAAAAAUGUAAUUUUCAUGGAGGAAGCAGGAAAGCUUGGAGAUUUUUCUGGAAGAUUUCAGAUUCCAGAUAUAGAGUCUGGAUUUGGGUCCAAUGAGCUAAGUUCUAAUAAGACCUCCAAGUGAUUCUGAAGCACAUGAUCAAAUCUUGAGAAUCACAACAGACUUUUAAACCAGAAUCUCUGGGGUGGGACCCAGGCCUCAGUGCUCUCAGGGUUCCCUAGGUGAUUCCAAUGUGUAGCCAAGAUGGAGCAUCACUGCUUGGGCUCAUGCUAAUAUAAUUUAAUACCUAUAAUUUAUGAAGCAUUACGAAUGUGUCAGACACUGAGCUUCCUCAUUUACAUUUACACAUAGUCUUCCCAACAACUCCAGUAAUUUCGUCAUUAUUCCCACUUUACAGAAACUAAUAUUGAGACUUACCAAUGUUGUGAGUCUUGCCCACAGACCCUAAGUUCGCAGAGCCAGGAUUCAAAUUCAGGACUUUUCUGACUUAAAAUCUGGCUUCAGGCUACUGCCAGGUAAUAUAGCAUUCUUAGAGCUAUCAUUAAGGUACAAGCAAGUAUUAGUGCAACGGGAGACUAGACAUCACAGGAGGUACUGGCUCAGCAAUUACUAAAAAGAAGCACUCAGCUCUCCUGGUAAAAUAGCUCAAGUUUAGAACUCAGACAAAUAUAGCUUUAAGGCUGGCUCUGCCCAAGGUCCUACUUUGUGACUUUACCUCUCUAAGCCUCAGUGUCCUCAGGUAUAAGAUGGAGAUAACAAUACCAACUUUUUAGAUUAAAUUUGAUGAUACUCAUGAAAGCCCCUGAAACAUACUAAGGCCAAUAAAUUGUUUGCAUAUCCCCCCAAGGAGAAAUUCUUUUUCCACUUUAACCUGUUAGGUAGGACCAGGGGUUUGGUGGCUGCUGUAGCAUAAGAUCAGCUUGGGAGUGACAAUUUCUCAGUUCUUUAAUGUUUUGCACUAGUUGACUCUAUUUCCAUAUUCUCUUCUGAACUCAGCCCAAAAGAGUUGGAGAAAAGUCAGGGUGUAUGUGUCAGAAUAUAAAAGUGUUGCAAGAAUCAGUGUAGAGUUUAGGUUCUCCUGGCUUUCAAGUGGGGACCACUGAGGGAGUUUAUUCUGGGGAACCCAUCUCCCUAGCCUUUAAUUAUAUCUUCUAGGGUAAAAUUUACAUAUAACACACGUAACUCCUUCCCUCCUCUCUCUCUCUCUCUCUCUCUCUCUCUCUCUCUCUCUCUCUCUCUCUCUCUCUCUCUCCUUCUUUCUUUGUGGUAUUGGGGAUGAACCCCAGGACCUCAUGCAUGCACGUACCCCAUUUGUAACUCACUCACCCAAAGUUGUAUGAGUCAACCUAGGGAUUGCAAGAAUAAGAUCAUAUCUUAUUCCAUUACAAUUGGGGUGGGAUAUAAUGCACAGGCAAGAAUCAAGUGCCAGAGACUCAACCUGACUCACUCAUUUUUUUUCCAGUGGAAGUUUUCAUUAAGAUAUUUUAUUAAGAUAAGUUUUUAUUAAGAUUGUGGAUUAAUAUAUAGUUGUAAGGAAUUAUAUAGAGAAAUCCAAUGUAUCAUUUAUCUAGUUUUCCCCAGUGGUAAUAUUUUGCAAACCUAUAGUACAAUUUCAUAGCCAAUAUAUUGAUAUCCAUUAUUUAGAUUUCCCCAGUUUUACUUGUACCCGUGUGUGUAUGUGUGUGUGUGUGUGUGUGUGUUUAGAAUAUGACUUUAAUCACAUGGGGCAGUCAGUGUGUCCACCAUUGGUCUAGAGGCUGAACAGUUCCAUUACAGUAAAGAUUCUUUGUGUUGCCUGCCAUACCCAGUGCCCUCCUGCCCCACCUCUUCCCACCAUACUUAACCUUUGCCAGCCACUUAUCUGUUUCUGAAAUUUUGUCAUAGAGUAUGCAGCCUUUUGACACUGGCUUUUUCCAUUCAGCAUAACUCCCUGGAGAAUUAACCAAAUUGCCACGUGUAUCAAUAGCUUGUUUUCUGUCAUUGCUGAGUCCAUUCACUUUGUUGUUCUUUGAUUGUGAACAAGUCACUUAGAAAUUCACGCAUUUCAACCUGAAGAAUCUUGAAAAUUGUCUUAACCCACUGAAGUCUCCAUUUAUUUAUUCGCGUCUUUUGUUUUUGAUUUUGUUUUUAACGAGAGGAAGUUGAUAAAGGCAUAGUUUUCUCCCAGGAUUGAUAUAUUGAUAUAAAGAUCAAAUGAUAUAAUAAACAUAAUACAUCACUGUAAAGGGAUGUAUCCAGGAAGAAUGUUAAUAAAAUGGUCUUUUAGAGAGACGCUCCUAUUUUAACUGGUGUUUUUCCUACUUCUUCCAAACAUAUCAAAUUUCUCCCAUUUUGGGACCUUUCUUCCAGCAAACUGAACUCCAGGGGGAGAGGGAUUUGACUUUUAGGACUCCCUUGAGGAAGCUGCUUACCUGAGCAAGGAGAGAGAGAGCAGGGGAGGGACAGCACAUCGUGAAGCUUUCAACACUCCUUUCAGUUAUCUUCAGACCUGUUUUGAUGGCAAAGUAUCUGAAAAUCUAUGUGAAAUAUACAAAACACCAUCAAAAUUACAUAAAGUGACUAAUUCCACAUUAAAACAGAAAACAAUUUCCAUAACAGAAAAGAAUACCUCUAAUUCUACACGUGCAGUGUAACAUCACAGUUACAAGCAUACAUAUCCAAGAAAAAUAGCAAGAUUUCUAACUAAGUGGUUACCUGUUUCUUGAGUUUUUCUGUAAAUAUUCAUUUUGUGUUCUAUUAGCACCCACCAGCAGACAAAUGAUAGCAACUCUAAAGGUCGAAGGAAAAAGUUAGGGGAGAUAAACUUAAAAUUUGAGAAUUUUAGAUGAGUGCAGUGGUUCAUGCCUGUAAUUCCAGAGACUCUGGAGGCUGAGGCAGGAGGAUUCCAAGGUUGAAUCAAACUUCAGCAAUUUAGCAAGACCCUGUCUCAAAAUAUAAAAAGGGUGGGGAUGUAGUUCAAUGAUAGAAUACCCUUGGUUUAAAUCCCAAUGUCGUCUCCCCACCAUCAAAUUGAAAAUUCUACAUGUUAACCUUUUCACCUCCAACCAGGAGGAGGUAUUUAUUCUGCUUUGGUGGAAAUAUUCCUGCCCAGCUCACUGACUACUCUAAUUCAGGUAGAUCCGUGUUACCUGAGGAUUCCAGUACAGAUUCCAGUUUCCUCUCUUACUUAUUCAAUAGAUCUGGGAUGAAACUAGGAAACUUAUUUAGUUUAAAAGUUCUUUAGAUGAUUCUGAUAGUGAGCCAGAAGAGGUUGGGAACCUCUUCUAUUUGGAUUGUCUUCAGUGCUCCCCGAUGGACUUUUAUCUGACAUCUCUGGGUAUUCUUUUCUCCUAUAAGACCUGUUCUCACUAGAGUUGUUCAUUCAUUUGUUUAUAUGUAUUUAUUUAUUACCAGGAUUGUAACCUAGUAGAGUUACAUCUCCAGCCUUUUUUACUUUUUUAUUUUGAGGCAGGGUCUAGCUGCUGAGGCUGGCCUCAAAUUGAGAUUCUCUUGCCUCAGCCUCCCGAAUCACUGGGAUUACAGGCCUUCACCAUCAUGUCCUGUUUAAAGCUUUCCUUUUCAUUAGAACCUACAUUUUCAAAUUCAUUGGGUUUUCAACUUCCUCCCUCCGCUUGAACUGCCCUUGCCCUGGUCGUCAUCACUUCUCUUUCUCAUCUUACUCAACAGCAUUCAACAUGGUGGACCACACCCUCUUGGCUUGAAAUAUUUUAAAAUCUAUUUCUUUUUUUUUUUUAAAGAUUUUUUUUAAAUGUUUAGUUUUUAGUUUUCAGUGGACACAACAUCUUUUAUUUUAUUUUUAUGUGGUGCUGAGGAUCAAACCCAGCGCCCCGCGCAUGCCAAGUGAGUGCACUACUACCGCUUGAGCCAUAUUCUCAGCCCUUUAAAUCUAUUUCUAUGACAGACUAUGCUUCUCUCAAAUUCUUCUUCCCAAGCUCCUUUUCUGGCCCCACCCUGCUGCCUCUCUUUCUAGAUCCUGUGCCCAAGAGCUCUUGCUGGGCUGGGAUAUCUCUCUCUCUCUCUCUCUCUCUCUCUUAAACUUGUCUGUAUUCUGUCCCUAGAUGAUCCCAUUUAGGUAACUGGCUUGAAAUAUUACCCAUAUGCUGAUAGCAUUCACAGUUCUACCUCUGCCUUUUUCUUGAGCUGCUUACCUGACAUCUCCCUUGAAUACCUAUUAGUCUACUAGGAGUUUUUUUUUAGUUUUUUCAGUACUGGGAUUGAACACAGGGUCUCAUGCAUGCCAGGCAAGCACUUACCACAUCCCCAGUUUGUAUUAGGAGCUCUGAUUUAACAAGUCCAAAAUAGAACUCUUGAACCUCUGCCCCUCAUAAAUACCACUAUCCUGGUUCUGCAGUGUCCUUCAUUUCAUUGAACAGGGCUACCAUCCGUGCAGUUGUUCAAGAGAAGCAUCUAGCAGCCAUCCAUGCUCAUUCAUCCACUUAUUAUUAUUAUUUUUAAUUAUUCUUUUGGUACCAGGGAUUGAACCCAGGGGCAUUCAACUCCUGAGCCACAUUCCCAGCCGCCCCCCCCCCCACUUUUUUUUUUGAAUUUUUUAUUUAGAGACCGGGUUCCACUGGGCCCUCACUAAGUUGCUGAGGCUGACUUUGAACUCAAGAUCCUCCUGCCUCAGUUUCCUGAGCUGCCCGGAUUACAAGCAUGCACCACUGGGCCGGGCUGCUCAUCCACUUAUAGAAAUAUAGUCCCAUCUCUUUGCUUCUUUCCUAGUCCACAGCACCAUCAUCUAGUGCAUUUGAGGCAAGUGCCCUACCUUUGAACUAUACCUCCAGCACGAAAACACGCGUAUGCAUACACACAGGAAUUCAGACCACCGUUCUGUUUAAAACAUAAUGACUUUUCACUGUGAGUAGAAUAAAAUCUAACCCCUUAUUUCAGAGGCUAAGUAGUCUAAAAAUAAAGCUCUGGACCCUCACAGUGCUUUCCCUCUGUCUGCAAGGUUUGCCCACAUAUCUUUGCAUUGCAAACUCUUCAGCUUUUAGUCCUGGCUAAAGAGACUUUGCCUAAGCGUUUCAUCUGAAGACUCCCCUACCCUGCCCAGACUUUCUCUUUUUCCUUACCUGAUCUAUUUUCUCCUUUGUCUUCUCACUAUCUGGAUCGAUUUUUUAUUUAUAUACUUGUUGACUUGUUUAUUGCUGGUUCAGAUGGACCACAUAGAGCUAAAAUGUAGGGUCUAUCUUCACAAAGCACGGGCUCAAUCAAAAUUUGUUUAAUCAAUCACUCAUUCACACCACGGACUGACAGGCAUUCCAAGUAUUCCUUUUUUUUUUUUUUUUGCCACUGCAUUUUUAACUGGGAUCAGAGGUUUAAGAACCAGGAAGAAGGAGACUGGUAAAAUUUCGAUCGUCAAUUUACUGACUGAGAAUUUCUUCACCGCUCCCCGGAAAAGUCAUCCCUUGUCUUUCUACAGGCCACCCCCAUUUUCUGUCUGUACUUGUUUCUGGAUCCUCUCCAACUUUCCUGGGAGGAUCCCUCUGAAAACUGUUCUUCCUCGUUGGACUGGCUCCCCUCUCUCUGAGCAGAAGGUUCAGCGGCCUGGCUUAGAGGUUCUUUUUUGCAGCAGCCGCACCUCGGACACCCUUGUCAGCCGCAAUGUCUGGGCUGGGGUUCAGCUGAGCCCUCCUCACCCUGCCACCCAGUUUUCAGUAGCCUGCUGCCACCUCAGCAGUGUGCGCCUGGUCUGUCCACACCCUAGUUCCGCCUACCAGCUCUGCCCUGCCCUUGUUUCCAGUCCCUUUUCUGGCUUUUUCACUGGCGAGCUGCCCAAUUCGGCCUCCAGCUUCUCCAUUACUGAAAACGUUUCAGCGUUACCGGCGCCGCACGUCUGCCCCCUAGUGGCUGGAACUGGAAGCACACACCGUUCACUGGAAAGAGCCCUUCCGUUUUCUAGCAGCUCCCUUCAUCAUCCGUUUCCCUUUGGGAAGGAUUUAUUUGUUUAUGUCUGCAUGUAUAUACCGAGGAUUUAACCCAGCGGGGUCUAACCACUGAGCCACAUCCCCAGCCCCAGCCCCACCCCCCCUUUUUUUGAGACAGGGUUUCAUUAAAUUGCUUAGGACCUCGCUAAAUUGCUGAAGCUGGCUUUGAACUUGUGAUCCUCCUGCCUCAGCCUCCCAGAGUCACUGGUAUUACAGGCGGGUAGGAUUUAAAUGGUGGGGAAUCUCAAUUUCAAGGCAUUCAGGACACCUGGUCUUCUCUGUGGCACGGUUAAGACCAAGGCCUAUCUGUAUUCAAGCCACAGUUUCCUCUCUUCCCUCAAUGGUGCAUUCCCUUUCUUUUCUCUAUCACCUUUAUUCAUGAUAGGGAUGAGUUAUUCUCAGGGCUAGAUUGAGAAUUUGGUAUAGAUUCUUUUUUGCAGCAGCCACACCUCGGACACCCUUGUCAGCGGCAAUGUCGGUAUAAAAAUAUAAAAAUCCCAUUAACGGAUAUCUGUUUGAUUGGCAUUUGUUUAGUGAGAGUAGAGGAAAACUACUUUUCCUAAUAAUAAAAAUUACUCCAACUAAAGGAUUAUAAUAUAUAAUGUUUCCAAACCAGAAAAUUUCCUGGGAAGCAUUACAUUUUUGCCCUCCAGAUGUAACUACUAACUAUUCUGACUGAUACUGCUGGAUUAUAUUUGCCAGUUUUUUGAACUGCACAGUAAGUACUUUUUUUGUGUGUCUGAUUUAUUUUGCAUAGCAUCUGUUUGGAAUUUAUUAAUGUGGAUGCACGUAAUAGUUCUUCUUAUUGCUGAAUAGUAUUCCAUUGCGUUGCUAUACCACAAUUUGUUCAUUUUUCUCCUGUUGAUAGCCAUUUAGUUUACAGUUUCUUUUCAGGCUGUUAUGAAAAAAACCUACUAUGAACAUUUGUGUGUGACUCUUUAUUCAUGGGUAUGUUAUUUGUCUUGAGAAAUGAUUUAGGAGUAGAAUUUCUGGGUUGUAGGACAUAUUUUAAAGUUUAUGAGAAACUGCCAGUUUGGCCAGGCACUAUGGCUCACACCUGUAAUUCAGGGGCUCAGGAAGCUGAGGCAGAAUGAUGGCAAGUUCGAGGCCUCAGCAACUUAGUGAGAUCCUGUCUCGAAAUAAAAAAUAAGGCUGAGGAUGUAGCUCAGUGGUACAGUACAAAAACAUAUAACAAAAACAAUAAAACCCUUUACUGAACCAUUCAAAAUCUAAUAUUUAAGUUUAUCACACAAAUAUAAAAAAUAGCAUAAAAUAUAAAAAUCAUGUAGGACACAAUCAAUCAUAAAGCAAACACCCUUGUAAUUACCCUCCAUGAAAGAACACAGCACCUCGCCAUGACUACUGAAUCUAUUCAUGUGCCACCCCAACCCAACACAACCCCUCCCAAUAAAGAAUAACCAGUGUUCUGACUUUGUUUUGGGCACAGGGUGCUGAGGAUUAAACCAGAACCCAGCAGCAUGUCAAACUGAGCUCUGCCACUAAUCUACCCCCAGCAACCUGUCCUGACUUUUAUAUUCAUUGUUACAUUCUUUCUUACAGUUGCAUUUUUAUUUAUUUUUUUAAAUUGACAGUAGAAUGCAUUUAUUCACUUUGAUAUACAUAGAUUGGAUAUAAUUUCUCAUUUUUCUGAGUACAUGUUGCUGACAUAUUGGUCAUAUAGUCACAUAUUUACAUACAGUAAUAAUAUCUGUUUCAUUCUACUAUAUUUCCUAUCCCCACAUCUCCUCCCCUUCCCUCUCAUAACUUCCCUCUACCUAAUCUAAGUUAAUGCUAUUCUUCCCUAGUGCCCCCCUACCUUAUUGUGAAUUAGCAUCUGUAUAUUAGAGAAAACAUUCAGCCUUUGGUUUUGUGGGAUUGGCUUAUUUCAUUUAGCAUGAUAUUCUCCAACUCCAACUAUUUAGUGGCAAAUGCCAUAAUUUCACUCUUUUUUAAAGCUGAGAAAUAUUCCAUUGAGUAUAUGAACCACAUUUUCUUUAUCUAUUCAUCUAUUGAGGGACAUCUAGUUUGGUUCCGUAAUCUAGCUAUUGUGAAUUGAACUGCUAUAUACAUUGACGUGGCUACAUUACUGUAGUAUGAUGAUUUUAAGUCCAUUGGGUGGGAUAUCUGGGUCAAAAGGUGGUUCCAUUCCCAGUUUUCUGAGGAAUCUCCAUACUGCUUUCCAUAUUGGCUGCACCAAUUUGCAGUUCCACCAGCAAUGUAUGAAUAUACCUUUUUCACCACAUCCUCGCCAACAUUUACAGUUGCAGUUUUAAUAUCUAACUGUGUAUCCUUACACAGGAUGGGUUUAGGGUCUUUUUAAAAAUAUAUCUUUAGGUUUCUAAAUUCAUAGUUUCUCCACCCCACAUCUUUUUUCCCCUUGCAAUUUAUUUGUUCAUGGAACUUUAUAUAACUUUAUAAUGUAGUUUGUUAUCUCUCAUUGUCCUCUGUUUUCUCUACUUCCUGCAAAUUGAUAGAUAAAUCCAGAGGCUCUAUCAAAUUCAUUUUGAUUUUUCUGGGGGAAGAAGACUCCUUUGUAGGUAUUGUUUCUUUAUCAAGAAGCAAGUAAUGAGGGCUGGGGUUGUGGCUCAGUGGCAGAGUGCUUGCCUAACACAUGUCAGCCAUUGGGUUGGAUCCUCGGCACCACAUACAAAUAAAUAAACUAAUAAAAUAAAGGCAUGCAUGUGGUCCAUCUACAACUACCAAAAAUAAGAGGGAGGAAGAGGAGGAGGAGGAGGAGGAUUGAGCUAGGCAUAGGGGCAUACACCUGUUAUCCCAGUGUCUCAGGAAGCUGAGGUAAUAGGAUUCCAAGUUCAAGGCCAACCUCAGCAACUUGGUGAGACCUGUCUAAAAAAUACAAACUAAAAAAGGACUGGGGACAUAGAUUCAGUGGUAGAGUGCUUGCCUAGCAUGCAAGAGUCCCUGGGUUUGAUCCUCAGUAGUGCAAAAAAAAGAAAAAGAAAAGAGCAAAAGCAUAUAAUAUCCUGUUGGCUCUCUUCGUGUUGCUAGCAGCCAGGGUGGCUCAAUUCAUGAGGGGCUACAAAAUGAUGUUGUUUUACUUCUAUCAUUUCUUCUUCAAUAAAGAGAAAGUUUGGCUACUCAGUGGUGUAUUAGUGGGAAAAGUAAGAAAAAUUAUUGAAUCUUGUUCUAUUUACCAGUUUUCAAAACAAAGAAUUGAUUUGCAACCACCCUCCCAAGAUGCGUGAAUUUUUCUUUGACAUCAUUAUGAACAUAUGAAUUUAGACAUAUUUUUAUUUUUACUAGUACUCAAAUUGUCCCAUCCUUGGCCAAUGGCAGUCUCUCUGAAUUAGUUCCCAAAUCCUUCAAACAUGUUUCUGUCAGUUUUUGAUAGAUUUCCCUGCCUCUGACAUGAGUUUCUAAGCUCAUCUUACACAUUUCUUAUUUUAGUCCUAGAAUUAGCUUUUUUUUCUUUUCUUUUUUUUUUUUUUGGUACUAGGGAUUGAACCCAGGAUCACUUUACCACUGAGCUACAUCCCCCCAGUCCUUUUUAUUCUUUCUUUUGAGGCAGGGUCUUGCUAAAUUGCUUAGUCCUCACUAAGUUGCUGAGUCUGGCCUCAAACUUGCAAUCCUCCUGCCUCAGCCCCCAAGUCCCUAGGAUUUCAGGCACACACCAGCUGGAAUCAGGUUUUGUCCAGGAAGCUUGGUUUAUUUUAGUGGGAAAUGGUAUUUGAAGACCAUAACUUGAGUGUUAGGGUUGUUCAUUACUAUUUCUUUCUAUUUUUUCUUUUCUUUCCUUCCUUUCUUCCAUCUGUCCUCCCUUCUCCUUCUCUAUUUUUUUGGGCGGUGGGUGUGUGGUACUGGUGAUUGAACCCAGGAACCUCUACCACUGAGCCACAACCCAGCCCUUUUUGUUUUAUUUUGAGACACAGAGUCUCUCUAAAUUGCUGAGGCUGGUCUCAAAUUUGGGAUCCUCCUGCCUUGGUCUCUCAGGUUGUUGGGAUUAAAGGUGUGCCACCAUGCCCAAAAUACUUCUUGAUUCAUAUGGAUAUUUUCAAUUUGAAUUCAAGACUAUAAGUUUUCACCUAGCAUCUUCUGAAUGGCAUCUUAUUUUCCCUAUGUCCCCAAUCCUGUUCUCAAGGACACGGGAGAUAAUAGAAUCAGAAUAUCACCUAAUUUCUCAUUUGCUUUAUUCUUCUUUAAAUUUUUAAAAAGUCAGGUUCAAUGAUUAUAAUUGAUCUACAGUAAAACACACCUUUUUAGGUGUAUAAUUUGAUGAGUGUUUGCAAAUGCUUGUAGUCCUGUAACCAUCACCAUAGUCAAAAUACAGAACACUGCCAACCAGAUUCCGUGUGGGCAAGAACUGACACAGGGGAAUGAAUGGUGAGGUGCCCUGGGGCGGUACACAUCAAGCCCUCUUCUUCUCCUUCUACUCUCUCCCAGGCAAGUCCAUCUACUUCUGGUCCUUUAAUUGCUGGCUUACAUUGACUCCAACAUCCAUGUCUCCUGAGCUCUAGAUUUGACAUGGAGAUAUAUCCUUCUGGAGGUGCCACCUUAUCUUUUCCCAAGCCUGCUCCUUCCUGCCUGACUUAUCUUAGGUAUUUCCAAUUAUCCAGCGAUUUAUCCUUUAUCUUAGACUAUGCUACCUUCCCCUCAAUUCCCAAGGCCAAUAGAUCUCAUCUGCCAACACCUUUUGAAUCUCGCGGUAAUCAGUCCUUCCUUCCCACUACUUUUUUUUUUUUUUUUAAGUAGAUGCUUGUGUUACUUCUCAUCUAAGUCCCCCCCCCCUGCAACCCCGCCCACUGUAACCUUUUCCCUCUUCUGGUCUAAUGCCUUCUUCCUCUCUUGUCUCUUCACUUCACACCUCUUCCUCUUUCUCAUCCAUUUCUCUGUCUAUUCUCCAUGGUCUACAGUCAGGCCUGGGGCUGUAGCUCAGUGGCAGAGCACUUGCCUUGCAUGGGUGAGGUACUGGGUUUGAUCCUUAGCACCUCAUAAAAAUGAAUAAAAUAAUUCUCCAAAAAGAAUUGCUAUUUAAAAAAAAUAGUCUGCAGUUAUAUUUCUAAAUGUAAAUUAGAUCAUAUAAUUCUGAUGCUUAAAAUUCUUGAAUGACUUGUCACUGUUUAUAGAAUAAAAUCCCAUACAAUGUAUUAUUCAUUAUUAUUCUAAAAUAUAUUUGCAGUUGCUUCAAAUAAGCCAUGAUUUUUCCUUCCUGCACAUGGUUCAUUUUUUUUGUUAUGUUUUGUUGUGUGUAUCCACCUUUUUUCUUUCUUUGAAGAGUUCUUGCAAAAUUGCCUAGACUGGACUCAAACCUGGGUUCAAGCAAUCCUCCUGCCUUAUCCUCCCAAGUAACUGGUAUAUAUCACUAUGCCCAAAUAUCACCUUAAAGGAAGCAACCUCAUUUCAACAUUCCAUAUUCUUUCUUCAUUUUGUGCUAUGCUAUCCUCCAUGUUUCUCCAUUAUACUGUUUCAUUGGUUCUAUUCAUGGAUACAUACAUCAGGCUCCCCCAGAGUUGAUUAGUAUUGUUUGAAACAUACUUUUUGUAGCAAAGUUAAGUUUACUGAUAAAGCAAGAUAGACACACCUCUUGCUCUCCCAGUCCUUACAUUCUAGAAAGAAAAUCAAUACAGCAUCAAAAUUCAGCUUCCAGUAUUGUGGGUUUUAGGGAUAACCUCCCACUUUUCUUUUCCAGUACUGGGGAUGGAAUCCAAGGGGAUUUACCCCUGAGCUACACCCCUGGACCUUUUUUAUUUUAAAUUUUGUGACAGGGUGUUGUUAAGUUGCCAAGACUGUCUUCAAACUUACUAUCCUUCUGCUUCAGCCUCCCAAGUGGCUGGGAUUACAGGUGUGCACCACCACGCCUGCCAACACUGGACUACCAGCUUGAAAACAGAACCACUGUUUUAAACAGUUCUUAUUGGAGAUCUUGGGCUGAGUUUCUAAAGCUAACUAAUAAACUAUAGAAACCCAUAAUAUUGUAAACUGUAGUGCUUCUGUCGUUGUAUUUGAACAAAUAUCUACUGCACUGCAAGGAAUUCAUAGAAAACUAAAAGUUGCUGCUGGAGGACAAUUUUUAGUCCUGUCCUCAGGAAUUUAUGUUUCUAUUGGGAGAGACAGACAGACAUUUAAAGAACUAAUGAGAACACACGCCGGGCAUGGUGGUGCAUGCCUGUAAUACCAGGGAGGCUGAGGCAGGAGGAUCUCAAGUUUAAAAACAGCCUUAGCAGUUUAGAGAGGCCCUGGGCAACUUAGUGAGAUCCUGUCUCAAAAGAAAUAUAAAAAAGACUGGGGUUGUGACUCAGUGGUUAAGGACCCCUGGGUUCCAAUACCAAGGGCAAAAUAAAACAAAAAACAGAACACAACACACACACCCACACACACAUACCCACUAUACAUAUAUACACACACAUACACAAUAUAUAUAUACACACACAUACAUUCCAUAUCCUUUCUUCAUUUUGUGCUAUGAUAUCCUCCAUGUUUCUCCAUCAUACUGUUUUACUGGUUGUAUUCAUGGACAUAUCAGGCAUCCCCAGAACAGAUUAGUAUUGUUUGAAACAUAUUUUUUUGUAGCAAAGUUAAGUUGUGUGUGUAUAUAUAUAUAUAUAUAUAUAUAUAUAUAUAUAUAUAGUGGGUAUGUGUGUGUAUAUAUAUAUGUAUAUAUACACACAUAUAUAUAUUGUGUGUGUGUUGUGUUCUGUUUUUUGUUUUAUUUUUAUUUUAUAUAUACAUAUAUACAUAUAUAGUGGGUAUGUGUGUGUGUAUAUAUAUAUGUAUAUAUAUAUUCCAUAGAUAACUCAAAUGACUAUAUUCCUUCUUAUAUUCCUUCUUUAUAUAUUAUAUAUAAAGUCUCUUUCUUUCUCUCUCUUUUUUUUUUUUUAAAUUGGGAAUUGAACCCGGGGCAUGUAGCUACCACUGAGCUAUAUCCCCAGGCUUUUUAAUUUUUUAUAUUGAGAUAGAAUAUUGCCAAGCUGAGAUUCUCCUGCCUCAGCCUCCCAAAAUGCUGGGAUUAUAGGUAUGCACCACCAGACCUUUGUUUUUUUUAAAAAUAUUUAUUUAUUUUUUUAGUUCUCGGCGGACACAACAUCUUUGUUUGUAUGUGGUGCUGAGGAUCGAACCCGGGCCACACGCAUGACAGGCGAGCGCGCUACCGCUUGAGCCACAUUCCCAGCCCCAGCCUUUGUUUUUUUUUAAACAGGGUCUUUAUGUUGCUCAAGCUGGUCUCAAACUCAUAGGGUCAAGAAAUCGUCCUGCCUCAGCUUCUGAGAAUAAUUGGGACUAUAUGCACAUCCCUUGUCAGCUUGAAGUCACUUCUUAAAGACCAAGAAUAAUACUUUACCUCAUUUUCAUCUCUUACAAUACCUGCAAGUUGGUAUUACAAAAGAGAUUUAAUGCAUAGUGUUUGAAUGAUUCUCUGGUAUGUAGAAAUAAGUUGGUAAGUAUGAUUAGAUUAUAAAUAAGGUGACUUUUAGUCUUUGCUACCAAAUUCUUACCCUUGCUGGUUUUGAUGAAGCAAGUUGCCACAUUGGGGAGAUCCUUGUGGUAAAGAAGAGACUCCCACUGCUUUUGAGGUGCCCACUCCUCGCUCCUGCAGUUCCCUUGGCUUAGGCAAAUUCAUCUCUCUAAAAAAAGAAAAAAAAAGAGCAUCAGCAGAGAUUGAGAUUUAGAGAGAGAAGAUGGGUAAAUAAGCCAUAUGUCCCUGAAAUGUCAUAGUAAUAGUUGAGAAUAAUGUCUCCUUGGUACCUUGAAAUUGCAGCCUGAAAUUCCUGCUUCUGCUUAUGAGUCAUGUUAAAUUUCAACAAUAUCACCCCAAUGCUGACUCAGAAGGACACCUUCUUAAUAAAUCUCCUAAAUUAUGUCCAUGACUACAAUAGAUUUUCCCCAAAGGUCUCCAAAGUCCUCCAGUUAGUCAUGCCUAGAAAUGAAAUUAGUUAGGGAGAAUAGCAUAGUGAAUCAGAAUCCAUUUAGAAUAUUUGUUUCUUUUUUUCAUUUUGGUACUGGGGAUCAAAUCCAAGGGCAUUUUACCACUAAACUUCAUCCCCAGUUAUUUUUAUUUUUUUUAAUUUCGAGACAGGGUCUUGCUAAAUUGCUUAGGCCAGCCUUGAACUUGGGAUCCUCCUGCCUUAGUCAGAAUUCUGACUCACUGGAAUUACAGGUGUGCACUGUGUGCUUAACAGAAUACUUGUUUUUCUAGAAAAGAAUAUUUCAAGAGAAUUUAAAAUAUUUUCAGAAAGAGUAUUUUUCACAAGUGGUGUUUUCAUUUAUUUAUUUUUUGACACUGUGAUUGAAUCCAGGGUCAUGUACAUGGUAAGUAUUUACUCUUACCACUGAGCUACACCUCCAGCCCAAAGAUUUUUAUUUAUUUAUUUAUCUUUUUAUUUAUAUAUUUAUUACUUUUGGUGAUGCUGGAGAUUAAGGUAAAGGUUCAUACUAAGCAAGUACUCUACCACUGAGCUAUGUCCCCAUCCUCCAAAGGUUGUUUUGUUUUUAAUCUCUUUUCAUGGUCUGAGGAUGUAGACCAGUGUUAGGAAGGAAGCUUGCUUUCCUAGAUUUUUCAAGACCUUGGGUUUGAUCUCCAACACAACCCCAAAAAACCCAAAAAAGUUUCUUUUCAGACAGCUCAGUAUUCAUUAGGAAUAUAAGUGAAUUUUAGCAACAACAAAUAGAACAUGUAUAAUUUCUAAUUUUUGGGGGGUGGGAUACUGGGGAUUGAACUCAGGGGCACUUGGCCAUUGAACCACAUCCCCAGCACUAUUUUGUAUUUUAUUUAGAGACAGGGUCUCACUGAGUUGCUUUGCACCUCACCGUUGCUGAGACUGGCUUUGAACUCAUGAUCCUCCUGCCUCAGCCUCCCAAGCCACUGGGAUUAAAGGCUUGCACCACAAUGCCUGGCUAAAAUUAAAACUUAAUUUGUGUGUGUGUGUGUGUGUGUGUGCUGGGGAUGGAACUCAGGGACUUGGAAAGUGAUCUAUCACCUAGCUAUAGCCUGAGCCCUUUUUUUUUCUUCUUUUCCUUCUUGCUUCUCUUCCCCUACCUCCCCCUUCUCCUCUUCCUCUUUUCUCUUCCUCCUCUUUUCUCUUUUUCUUACUUGGGGUUUCCCUAUAUUGCCCAGGGCAGUUCCUGGGCUCAAGUUCCUGGCCAUGACUUGCCAUUCUCCUGCCUCAGCCUUCCCUGACGCUGGGAUUACAGGUGUGAGCUUCUGCGCCUAGUUGAAAAUGGAAGAAGUGGGCUGGUGUGGGCACCCAAAAGGUGGAAGGUUGAGUUUUUCAGUGAUUUUAAGUUGCAAUUUUAUGUGUCAACUGUAAAGGGCACAUCACUGUUGUAGAGCCCGUCCACAGAGCUGAAGCAGCCAUGGUCCUGGUUGCUACUGGUCCUUGGAUCCCAGAGGGAGGAUUUCUAGCAAGUUGUAUAGUGUAACAGGCAGGAGUUUAUUAUAUAGUGAAGUUAAGGAUGCACAGUGUCUGCAUGGAACAGACUGUCUCUGGAAAGAAAGCGUAGCUCUUACAGUCUAAGUCUUUAAGGGUCCCCUUGUUCUUGGCUUAGUUUUUCAUAACCACCUUUGUGAUUGAUACGUGAGGGUUGAGAUGAUCUGAUUACAAGACAGCUGUGACAUGUGAGGGUCAUGAUGAAGGUCACAAGAGAUCCUUAAGGGUAGUUAUAAUUAAUGUUUUCCAGAUGUGUGUCUGCUUUGAUAAAAUUUCUUGUAAUUCCCAGUCCUGUGACUGACUCAUGGACUCACUUUGACGUAUAGGUUUAUGUCCUCCUGUAGGUUAACCGCCCUUCAUUAUUCUCCCCCUACUCACCUGCUCAUGACUGACUACCCAUCAUUACCACGACUCAGGUCUGACAAUGAGUCAAACUCAUCUCUAUGGUUUUUGAAAAGUCAGACGUCUGAGUCCAAAUCCAUCUGAGUCCAAAUCCUCCGCCUAUUGAAUCUGAAUUUUAUGUCCUUUCUCCGUGCUGGGGAUUGAACCCAGAGCUUCCUGUGUUCUAAGCACUGACUCUACCACUGAGCCCCAUCCCUUGUCCUGAAUCUGAAUUUUAGAAGGCAGUGCUGAAGAACCAUUGGGUUUGUUUAUGAGUCUGAUGUGUAGCAAACAUGGAGAAUCACAGGGAUGUGGGGAGAAGUCCUUGUAGGUUUUAACAGCCUUGCAGAAUUUUUUUUUUAAAGAGAGAGAGAGUUUUAAUAUUUAUUUUUUUUUAGUUUUCGGCGGACACAACAUCUUUGUUUGUAUGUGGUGCUGAGGAUCGAACCCUGGCUGCAUGCAUGCCAGGCGAGCGCGCUACCGCUUGAGCCGCAUCCCCAGCCCCGACAGCCUUGCAGAAUUAAUACGAAUCUAUUUUAUGUAGCAGUAACUACCAGUUACUUUGUAUAAAAAACUAAGAAACACCAAAUUUCCAGCUUUUCUCUUUUCUUUUAACUUGACCUCCUGCAAACAUGCUGAUAAUGAAACAGAGUGCAAGAGUUGCUUACUGACAAAAGCGUAAAAAGAUAAAAAUACAUAUAAUAAACUACAUAUUAUUGUGAUUUAAUUUUAAAUUUAUAUAUAUGUAUAUAUAUAUAUAUAUAUAUAUAUAUAUAUAUAUAUAUAUAAAAUGUAAAAUGUAGAUCUGGGAUUUUAUAUUGGAGUUUUAAUUCUAAGGAAGUUUCCCUAGCAAUAUUCCUAUGUGUUUAAAUGGAAAAACAGUCUUUUUGUUUUCUGUCUCUCUUCCAUGUGAUUAAUAUAGUGGGAGACAUAUUACAAACCUUCAAUAAUGUUUCCUGAAUGAAUAAAUGAAUGAAUGAAGUUGAAAAACCAGGUCAACAGCAGGUACCUGGUACAAUUAAGCAGAGAAAGAAAACCAGUAAUAAUAUGAAUGAAGCCGAUCACAGUUUCAUCCUGGCAGAGACAGGUAAUAGGGAUGGAAGGGAUGAAAAGACUCUGGAUAGUCUCACUUGAAGAGAUAAUUAUAUUUUAAUUGGCUCUAUACAAUUUUAUUUUGAUGGACACCCUUUCAGACCAAGAGAACCAAAUUUUUCAUAGCACAAAAAUAGCAAUAUACUUAUUUUUUUUCAUUGUUAUGGAUCAAACCCAGGGCCUCACACACACCAGGCAUCAAGUUUACCACUAAGCCAUAUCCACAGCUCAGCCAUAUAGUCAAAUUUAUUAAAUAAUCUCUGUCUAAAUAAUUUAACUUCUACCUUGGAGCCUUAUAACAGAAUUCAGAAGACAUACUUAAGAACAAAAGCAAAGUGCUAGGGAUGUAGCUCAUUUAGUAGAGUGCUUGCCUUGCAUGCACAAGGCCCUUGGUUCAAUCCCCAGCACCCCCCACCCCACCAUACACACAUACACACACACACACACACACAAACAAAAGGAGAGGGGUUAGAGGUGGAACCUGAUGGUAGAGUGUGCACUUCACAUGCCUGAUGUUCUGGGCUAAUACCCAGAAUCAAAUAAUAAUAAUAAUAUUAAUUUUAAACUAAAGCAGAUGAUCACUAAAGUUGACUAAUAAUUGUUAAAUAAAUCUGGGCAUACUUUUAGUAGAUAUAGCAAUAGAGAUAUGAAAUAGAGGCACUUUCCCAUGAAUUUGAAUGCCCAUUAUAAAAGGAACUAUCACCCCUGUAUCUUUACUUACAAUUUACUUAUUGAUCUUUACUUAUUAAUAUUUAAUUAAUUAUUUUAACAUUAAUUUAAAUGUUAAAUUAAUUCCUGUUACCUAUUAGUAGUCAAAUGAUACAACGUUGGCUGGACUUCUGUGCAUACUAUUCGCUUAAUUCCUUAUCUGUGAAUGGGGAGGCUAGGACUCAGAUUGUGCCAAACUUUUAUUUCAUGUGUUUUCACAUUGCUUGUAAUAUGGCUGAGGCAAUGUUUUCUUUUCAGUAUCCAGGGUCCCUAAAUUCUUUUUUCAUUCACCUUUGAGAAUUAUCUAUUUGAGCGGUAAUGGAAGCAUACAUCUGUGUGCAAAGCUGAGCUCGCAUCCUUGUUUUUUUUUGUUGUUGUUGUUUGUUUAGUUUUUGUUUUUUGCUAUACCAUCUACUGAGGCUUCUUUGCAUACUAGUUAGAAUUGUGAUUUCCAGGACUUCACUUCUGCUUUAGAACACUCAUUUUGUCACACUGGCCUCUUAACCACUUUGAUGAAAAAGAAAAUGGUCAGGAAAAGCCCCCAGGCAUCGUACUAUCUGAUGAAAACAGAACUGUCUUGUCUUUCGCAAUUUAGAUACUUACUUGGGUUUGAAGCAGGUCAGACGCAAAGAUGACGUCUCAAGAGCAAACCUCCCGGCUCUGCUGAUAAAAUAAAGCCGCAGAGUUUAGCUCCCCCUGGUGGCCACACGCAGCCAGUACACUAUGGUAAUUCGAGGUUUCAGUUGCGCUCCAAAAUAGACAUUCUUUAUGUAUUAUAGAAUAGAGAUUUAGGGAUUUUGUUUUUGAUUCAAGAAUUCUGUCCUAAAAGUGAGAAUACUGUCUAUCCUAAUUGUAAAAGCAGACAGGACAAAAAAAUAAAAGACAAAAUAUAGGUAAAUAAAACGUGAUCAACAACUGGGGCAUUAGGAACGACGCCAAUGGCAAUCAGCAAAUAGAAAAGUAUGAACCAAAACACAAACAGCAACUGCAGAAGAAAAGCAAUGCUACUACUCCAGUGUUUUUGAAUACUCUUUAGAUAAAAGGAAAAUGGUGUAACCUUAUUUAAUCAUCUCUGUUAAAUUUUGUGCUUACAAUUAGUAAGGUCCAUGAAUCCAGGAAGCAGGUUUUGUUAGUUUGUUUUUGUUUUUUGAGAUAAGGUCUUGCUAUGUGCCCAGGCUGGACUUGAACUCUUGGGCUCAAGUGAUUCUCCUGCCUUGGUCUCCCAAGUAGCUGGGACAACAGGUGUGUACCCCUGCACCUUGUUCCUCAAGAUACUCUUCUAAAGUAAAAUAAAGAGGGUAGGCAUGGUAGCCCACAUCUAUAAUCCCAGCUACUCUGGAGGCUGAGCCGAAGGAUUGCAAGUUCAAGGACAGGCUGGGCUUAGGGAGACUCUAUCUCAAAAUAAAAACUUUUAAAAAGGGAUGGGCAGGGGCGGGGGCUGGGGCUCAGUGGUAGAGUGCUUGCUUCCGAUGGGUGCCAACAGCGUUCUGGAAAAGAUUAGCUAGCUCUCUAGGCUUCUUUUUGGUAUCAGGAAUUGGACCCAGGGGCACAUAAUCUCUGAGCCACAUACCCAGCUCUUUUUUACUUUUUGGCAGUGCUGGGGAUUGAACUCAGGGCCUUGUACAUGCGAGGCAAGCACUCUAUCAACUGAGCUAUAUCCCCAGUUUCCCUAAUCCUUUUUAUAUUUUAUUUUGAGACAGAGUCUCACUAAGUUGCUUAGGGCCUCACUUUAAUGCUGAGGCUGGCUUUGAACUCAUGAUCCUGCCUCAGCGUCCAGAAUUGUUGGGAUUACAGGCAUGCAACACCAUGCCCAGCUAUUUUCAUCUUUUAAACUGGCAUACAUGUAUAGAGAGUUCAGUAGAGAAACUUUUCAUUGUCUCUCUCUUUUUUUUUUUUUUUUUUUCCCCUGGCUUUCUGUUUUGGUACAGGGGAUUGAACCAGGAGUACUUUACCACUGAGCUACACCCUCAAUCCUUGUUGUUUUUUCUUUUGAGACAGAGUUUUACUAAAUUGCUUAGGGCCUCACUGUAUUGUUGAUAUUGGCCUCAAGUUUGCAGUCCUCCUGCCUCGGUCUCCUGAGUUGUUGAGAGUUGGGGUUACAGGUGUGCACCACCGUGCCUGGCUUUUUCUGGCCAUAUUUGUCAUUUCAUUUCAUUUCUUCCUUCUCUUCUCCUUCUCCUUCUUCUCUGAAGUGCUGGGGAUUUAUCCCAGGGCCUCCCGUAUGCUAGGCAAGGCCUCUACCUCUGACCUCACUGACCUAUAAACUCAACCCCUAUUUUAUUUCUUGAUUGUUGUGAUGUCAAAAAUGCUAGGUACAUCACAGUCAGCCCUCUUUCUGCUGAUGUUCUCUCCACCUCUUUCUUUGUUUUUUGCUCCUAAUUCACUGUAUUCCUGCCAUUUCUUUUCUUUUUCUUUUUUAAAAUUUUUUUUAGAUGUUGAUGAACUUUUAUUUUAUUCAUUUAUUUAUAUGCGGUGCUGAGAAUCAAACCCAUUGCCUCACACAUGCUAGGCAAGUGCUCUACCACUGAGCCACAACCCCAGCCCUUCCUGCCAUUUCUUACAUUCAGAAAUGUAGCUACCUAUAUGAACAAAAGAAAGACAUUGGUGUUUCAGUUUGGCCUGGGUUGUGUCACAGGAGUCUAGAGGAAGGGAGUGUGACCGGGUAUGGAUUAGAAUCUUUAAUGAGUGCUCCCAGAAGCCAGCACUGGAGAAGUUAAAGGGGAAAGAGACUUGGAAUGAACAGGAGUAGGAGCCAUGAAACCCUGCUGCCCUCUUCCUUUUGGAAAUGUCCAUUCUUUGUCCAACCUAAACUCAUUUGGCUAAGGGAGGUGGAAACUUCCUUAUGAUUCAUUCACUUACACAAUUGCCCCUGGAGCACUGGGGCGUGUCUUACAUUUUUAAUCUUCUCAGCUCCUGGGGCAUAGUGUUUGGCUGAGACUGCAGAUUUUAGGUAAAAAAAAAUGUCAGCUGCAAUUUCAUAUGGUUGAAGUGUUUAUUUUUGAUCCUGAUGAUUAUGAAGGAUCUCUCUCAAUUCUUAAGUAUCUGGGGAUAUUCUUUCACAGGGACUGCCAGCCCAGGCCAAAGAUUCUCAAUGGGACAAUACGUCGAAUAGGCUUCAACCUAUACAGGUAUACAGUGUAUACUGUUCUAAUGAAAGGAAAUUCAUCAUGUAGUUGUAAAUUUGUGACCUGUUACUAGACCACACAGCCUAUAGAAUUCUAUGCAUUUUCUCUUCUUCUUCUUCUCCUCCUCCUCCUCUUCUUUCUCUAGAUUGAACUCAGGGACACUCUACCACUGAGCUACAUCUCCAGUCAUUUUUAUUCUUUUAUUUUGAGACAGGGUCUCAUUAAGUUGCUGAGGCUGGUCUCAAAUUUGUGAUCCGACCCUCCUGCCUUAGCCUCCUGAGCUGCUGGGAUUACAGGCCUGCACCACCAUUCACGGCUUUUAUGCAUUUCUCUUAAAUAAAUGCUAUAUUUUUUUGUGAUUUAUCUAAUGCAUUAUAUUGCAUUUUAUGUUUUGAAUUGAAAACAUUAAUGCUAACAAAAGAUUAAUGUGCUAAAUAUAAACAUUUAAAAUAUAUUGCAGAUUUUUCUGGAUCCUAGAGCCUGAACAUGGACGCCUGAGGCACUUCCGGAUCCUAAAAUCUCAACAUGGACGUGCACCAAAGGAACUUCCGGAUCCCAGAGCCUAAACAUGGACGUGUGCCUGAGGAACUUCCAGAUCCAGGGGCCUAAAUGUGCACCUGAGGAAUUUUCGAGGGCCUAAACAUGGAUGCCUGAGUCAUUCCCGAUCCUGGGGCCUAAACAUGGACGCCUGAGGCACUUCUGGAUCCCAGAGCCUAAACAUGGAUGCCUGAGGAACUUCCGGACCUAGGGGCUUAAGCAUGGAUAUGCACCUAAGGAACUUCCGGAUCCUGGGGCUUAAACAUGGACGUGAGCCUGAGGAACUUCCGGAUGCUACAGCCUAAACAUGGAGGACUGAGGAACUUCCGGAUCCUAGAGCCUAAAAAUGGACGCACACCUGAGGAACUUCCGGACGGGGGGCGGGGUGGGGGGGUGGGCGAGGACCCAUGGAUGCCUGAGGCAUUCCGGAUCUGAGGGCCCAAAGAUGGACAUGUACCUGAGGAACUUCUGGAGCUGGGGGCCUAAACAUGGACGCCUAAGGAACUUCUGAAUCCUAGAGUCUCAACAUGGACGUGCACCAAAGGAACUUCCAGAUCCAGGGUCCUAAACAUGGACGUGCACCCAAGGAACUUCCAGAUCCGGGCGCCUAAACAUGGACAUGCGCCUGAAAAACUUCUGGAUGGGGGGGGGGGCGUAAACAUGGACACCUGAGGCAUUUCUGGAUCCCAGAGCCUAAAAAUGGAUGCCUGAGGAACAUCCGGACCCGGGAGCUUAAACAUGGAUGUGCACCUGAGGAACCUCUGGAUCCGUGGGCCUAAAUAUGGACGCCUGAGGAACUUCCAGAUCCUAGAGCCUAAACAUGGACGUGCACCUGAGGAACUUCCAGAUGCUACGGCCUAAACAUGGAUGUGCGCCCAAGGAACUUCCAGAUCCAGGGGCCUAAAUAUGAACUGCACCCAUCGAACUUCCGGAUCCUGGGGCUUAAAUAUGGACGUGCGCCUGAGGAACUUCCAGAUCCAGGGGCCUAAACAUGGACGUGUCCCUGGAACUUCUGGGUCCUUGUGCCUAUAAAGGGCAGGGUGUGACUCUCAGAAGGGAUGUGGCCCAUGAAGGGGAGCCAAGUAUGGGGCCUGUUGGGAGGCAGACUGAGCUGUCGCACCCUGAACUUGCAUGUGACUGUGGCCUCACUUCCUGGCCUUCCCUUGGGUGUUACUUCCUCCCUUUCCAAGUGGUGCCGGGAAGGAAGUGAGACCAGGCGCAGGGGCCAGGCCCUGAGGAGGGACACCGUCUUUCUCCUCGCUUAGCCAGGCGCCUGGCCUGGCUGGGGACGGGGACAUCUUGUGACACUGGCUGCCUCCUGCAUCCCUGCCCCAGGACCCCAGGGACCACAGGCGGGGACAGUCGUUGAUUCUCCCCUGGCCACUGACCCUCAGCCCCAGGGUCUGCCCAGGGAGAGCUCUGUCUCCCAGAGGGUCAGGGGGCCCCUGUGACCUGCUGCUCCUUACCCACUGUCAUCCUGGACAAGCACAGGUCAGGACACCAGAUGCUACUGAGAGUGACAUCCCCUAGAUGGGCGGCUGGGGACUUUGCCUCUGUCCCCAGGCCUCGGACACCAGAUGAUCCCCCCAGAGACAGAAAAUAACCCCACACUGCCCUUAUUUUUAAGCUUUGGAUUCUGAAAUUUUCCUGCUGCCACCUUCUUUGUGAAGCCAGUUUUUCAACAGAGACAAUAUUCCAGGGGGAAAAACAAAACAAAACAUGGAGUCAAUCAAACCAAGCUGACAUAUCUGGUCCUCCAAGAGAAAUCUGGAUUGGAGGGAGAACAGCCAUUUUCAACUGGCGAAAUAAUGAAGUUCCCUUGUCCUUAUUUUGUGUAAGCAAAAUAAAUAAUCUGAUGUUAAUCAUCAAAUUAUUUUUGAUGAGUGCUUGGCUCAUAGGAAAACUGAUUCUGUUUUAUGACGUGUUACCUGAUUUUAAAAUUUAAAAUGAAGCCAAUUAGGAUUGUUAAAUUACACUGUCAUAAUUCUGUUCUUUGAUAGCAGAAAUAAAUAAACCUU